rnacentral:rRNA from 1 species
UUAACACAUGCAGUCGAAAGGUGAAGCCCAGCUUGCUGGGUGGAUCAGUGGCGAACGGGUGAGUAACACGUGAGCAACCUGCCCUGGACUCUGGGAUAAGCGCUGGAAACGGCGUCUAAUACUGGAUAUGAGGCGUGAUCGCAUGGUCAUGUUUGGAAAGAUUUUUCGGUCUGGGAUGGGCUCGCGGCCUAUCAGCUUGUUGGUGAGGUAAUGGCUCACCAAGGCGUCGACGGGUAGCCGGCCUGAGAGGGUGACCGGCCACACUGGGACUGAGACACGGCCCAGACUCCUACGGGAGGCAGCAGUGGGGAAUAUUGCACAAUGGGCGGAAGCCUGAUGCAGCAACGCCGCGUGAGGGAUGACGGCCUUCGGGUUGUAAACCUCUUUUAGCAAGGAAGAAGCGAAAGUGACGGUACUUGCAGAAAAAGCGCCGGCUAACUACGUGCCAGCAGCCGCGGUAAUACGUAGGGCGCAAGCGUUAUCCGGAAUUAUUGGGCGUAAAGAGCUCGUAGGCGGUUUGUCGCGUCUGCUGUGAAAUCUGGGGGCUCAACCCCCAGCCUGCAGUGGGUACGGGCAGACUAGAGUGCGGUAGGGGAGAUUGUAAUUCCUGGUGUAGCGGUGGAAUGCGCAGAUAUCAGGAGGAACACCGAUGGCGAAGGCAGAUCUCUGGGCCGUAACUGACGCUGAGGAGCGAAAGGGUGGGGAGCAAACAGGCUUAGAUACCCUGGUAGUCCACCCCGUAAACGUUGGGAACUAGUUGUGGGGUCCAUUCCACGGAUUCCGUGACGCAGCUAACGCAUUAAGUUCCCCGCCUGGGGAGUACGGCCGCAAGGCUAAAACUCAAAGGAAUUGACGGGGACCCGCACAAGCGGCGGAGCAUGCGGAUUAAUUCGAUGCAACGCGAAGAACCUUACCAAGGCUUGACAUAUACGAGAACGCUGCAGAAAUGUAGAACUCUUUGGACACUCGUAAACAGCUGGUGCAUGGUUGUCGUCAGCUCGUGUCGUGAGAUGUUGGGUUAAGUCCCGCAACGAGCGCAACCCUCGUUCUAUGUUGCCAGCACGUAAUGGUGGGAACUCAUGGGAUACUGCCGGGGUCAACUCGGAGGAAGGUGGGGAUGACGUCAAAUCAUCAUGCCCCUUAUGUCUUGGGCUUCACGCAUGCUACAAUGGCCGGUACAAAGGGCUGCAAUACCGCGAGGUGGAGCGAAUCCC